rnacentral:rRNA from 1 species
CAUGCAAGUCGAGGGGAAACGACAUCGAAAGCUUGCUUUUGAUGGGCGUCGACCGGCGCACGGGUGAGUAACGCGUAUCCAACCUGCCCACCACUUGGGGAUAACCUUGCGAAAGUAAGACUAAUACCCAAUGAUAUCUCUAGAAGACAUCUGAAAGAGAUUAAAGAUUUAUCGGUGAUGGAUGGGGAUGCGUCUGAUUAGCUUGUUGGCGGGGUAACGGCCCACCAAGGCGACGAUCAGUAGGGGUUCUGAGAGGAAGGUCCCCCACAUUGGAACUGAGACACGGUCCAAACUCCUACGGGAGGCAGCAGUGAGGAAUAUUGGUCAAUGGGCGAGAGCCUGAACCAGCCAAGUAGCGUGCAGGAUGACGGCCCUAUGGGUUGUAAACUGCUUUUAUAAGGGAAUAAAGUGAGUCUCGUGAGACUUUUUGCAUG